AUUGAACGCUGGCGGCAUGCUUUACACAUGCAAGUCGAACGGCAGCGCGGGCUUCGGCCUGGCGGCGAGUGGCGAACGGGUGAGUAAUACAUCGGAACGUGCCCAGUCGUGGGGGAUAGCUCGGCGAAAGCCGGAUUAAUACCGCAUACGACCUGAGGGUGAAAGCGGGGGAUCUUCGGACCUCGCGCUUUUGGAGCGGCCGAGGGCAGAUUAGCUAGUUGGUGGGGUAAAGGCCUACCAAGGCGACGAUCUGUAGCUGGUCUGAGAGGACGACCAGCCACACUGGGACUGAGACACGGCCCAGACUCCUACGGGAGGCAGCAGUGGGGAAUUUUGGACAAUGGGCGAAAGCCUGAUCCAGCAAUGCCGCGUGUGUGAUGAAGGCCUUCGGGUUGUAAAGCACUUUUGGCGGGAACGAAAAGGACUGUGCCAAUACCACGGUUCGAUGACGGUACCCGCAGAAUAAGCACCGGCUAACUACGUG
rnacentral:rRNA from 1 species